CACGGGGGAGACCCUGAUGCCUCACACAGGCCACUGCUCAGAGCAGCCAGACUCCCAGGCUCCAGACCCGCUUAGGGAACAUGUAGAAAGACAUACUAAUGAGGGUCAUAGAGAAAGGGUCUUUCUCUGUGAAGUGAUGGGGAAGCCAGAAGGCUGGCUGGAAGCCCCUGGCAUAGUUUGCCUAAGCAGUGUUGAAUUGAAUUGAGGUAGGCACCUUGGCAAGAUGGAAGAAAGCAGGCCACAGAUGGGACAGCCGGGGAGGUCCAGUGAUGAGAGCCACAGAGUGAGAAGCCACACACAUUUCUCUAGGAAGCCAUCGACUUGGAGGAUCGCAUCACUCCAGGCGUUUGUGACGUGUGAUGGCUUGUAAACCUGAGACACCCUGAGGACAUACCAUAAAGCAUGCUCAAACCUCCAGCUCCUGUCUCCAGCUCUCACAACCCACUGGCUUCCAGUGCUGGACAACCAAUUGGAGAAUUCAGCUAAGGCACUGAGUGUCCACAGAGAGUUUGGGGUUCUGGGCGAGUCUAUGAACCUGGCAUGGUUUCUGUACACAUUCACGCGGACUAGCUCCUGGGACAUCUGCGGUCUCAUACAUGGUCAGGACACCCUGGAAGCACUUGGAACAGGAUAUAACAGCAGCACUUUCCACCCAGCCUGACAUCCUGCUUCCAGAUGCAAGACUCUGAGGCAGCUGCGAGCAAGGAGCUCAAGGUUCCGAUUUGAAAGUCCGAGUCCAGCAGCUUCCAGCUAGGCCCUCACAUUGUCUUCAUUCUCCCCUUUCUUGGCCCUCAAAUGAUCAGAAUAACGUGUUACAAUCUGUAGUGGUUUGUGUGAGAAAUGUCCCCCACCAGCUCUGGCAUUAGAACACUUAGUGUGGUUCCCACUUGGUGGUGCUGUUUGGGGAGGUUAUAUCACCGCCUGCUCUUAUACCUUCUUCAUUCAGCUCCCUGAAGUUAGCACUGUCUGAUAUUAAAUUUCCAAAAAUAAAAAAUUCAUUAGUGUCUUCGUUGA